UUAAGGGCGCACGGUGGAUGCCUUGGCACUAGAAGCCGAUGAAGGACGUUACUAACGACGAUAUGCUUUGGGGAGCUGUAAGUAAGCUUUGAUCCAGAGAUUUCCGAAUGGGGAAACCCAGCAUGAGUUAUGUCAUGUUAUCGAUAUGUGAAUACAUAGCAUAUCAGAAGGCACACCCGGAGAACUGAAACAUCUUAGUAACCGGAGGAAGAGAAAGAAAAUUCGAUUCCCUUAGUAGCGGCGAGCGAAACGGGAAGAGCCCAAACCAACAAGCUUGCUUGUUGGGGUUGUAGGACACUCUAUACGGAGUUACAAAGGACGACAUUAGACGAAUCAUCUGGAAAGAUGAAUCAAAGAAGGUAAUAAUCCUGUAGUCGAAAAUGUUGUCUCUCUUGAGUGGAUCCUGAGUACGACGGAGCACGUGAAAUUCCGUCGGAAUCUGGGAGGACCAUCUCCUAAGGCUAAAUACUCUCUAGUGACCGAUAGUGAACCAGUACCGUGAGGGAAAGGUGAAAAGCACCCCGGAAGGGGAGUGAAAUAGAACCUGAAACCGUGUGCUUACAAGUAGUCAGAGCCCGUUAAUGGGUGAUGGCGUGCCUUUUGUAGAAUGAACCGGCGAGUUACGAUUUGAUGCAAGGUUAAGCAGUAAAUGUGGAGCCGUAGCGAAAGCGAGUCUGAAUAGGGCGUUUAGUAUUUGGUCGUAGACCCGAAACCAGGUGAUCUACCCUUGGUCAGGUUGAAGUUCAGGUAACACUGAAUGGAGGACCGAACCGACUUACGUUGAAAAGUGAGCGGAUGAACUGAGGGUAGCGGAGAAAUUCCAAUCGAACCUGGAGAUAGCUGGUUCUCUCCGAAAUAGCUUUAGGGCUAGCCUCAAGUGAUGAUUAUUGGAGGUAGAGCACUGUUUGGACGAGGGGCCCCUCUCGGGUUACCGAAUUCAGACAAACUCCGAAUGCCAAUUAAUUUAACUUGGGAGUCAGAACAUGGGUGAUAAGGUCCGUGUUCGAAAGGGAAACAGCCCAGACCACCAGCUAAGGUCCCAAAAUAUAUGUUAAGUGGAAAAGGAUGUGGCGUUGCCCAGACAACUAGGAUGUUGGCUUAGAAGCAGCCAUCAUUUAAAGAGUGCGUAAUAGCUCACUAGUCGAGUGACACUGCGCCGAAAAUGUACCGGGGCUAAACAUAUUACCGAAGCUGUGGAUUGUCCUUUGGACAAUGGUAGGAGAGCGUUCUAAGGGCGUUGAAGCAUGAUCGUAAGGACAUGUGGAGCGCUUAGAAGUGAGAAUGCCGGUGUGAGUAGCGAAAGACGGGUGAGAAUCCCGUCCACCGAUUGACUAAGGUUUCCAGAGGAAGGCUCGUCCGCUCUGGGUUAGUCGGGUCCUAAGCUGAGGCCGACAGGCGUAGGCGAUGGAUAACAGGUUGAUAUUCCUGUACCACCUAUAAUCGUUUUAAUCGAUGGGGGGACGCAGUAGGAUAGGCGAAGCGUGCGAUUGGAUUGCACGUCUAAGCAGUAAGGCUGAGUAUUAGGCAAAUCCGGUACUCGUUAAGGCUGAGCUGUGAUGGGGAGAAGACAUUGUGUCUUCGAGUCGUUGAUUUCACACUGCCGAGAAAAGCCUCUAGAUAGAAAAUAGGUGCCCGUACCGCAAACCGACACAGGUAGUCAAGAUGAGAAUUCUAAGGUGAGCGAGCGAACUCUCGUUAAGGAACUCGGCAAAAUGACCCCGUAACUUCGGGAGAAGGGGUGCUCUUUAGGGUUAACGCCCAGAAGAGCCGCAGUGAAUAGGCCCAAGCGACUGUUUAUCAAAAACACAGGUCUCUGCUAAACCGUAAGGUGAUGUAUAGGGGCUGACGCCUGCCCGGUGCUGGAAGGUUAAGAGGAGUGGUUAGCUUCUGCGAAGCUACGAAUCGAAGCCCCAGUAAACGGCGGCCGUAACUAUAACGGUCCUAAGGUAGCGAAAUUCCUUGUCGGGUAAGUUCCGACCCGCACGAAAGGCGUAACGAUUUGGGCACUGUCUCAACGAGAGACUCGGUGAAAUCAUAGUACCUGUGAAGAUGCAGGUUACCCGCGACAGGACGGAAAGACCCCGUGGAGCUUUACUGUAGCCUGAUAUUGAAAUUCGGCACAGCUUGUACAGGAUAGGUAGGAGCCUUUGAAACGUGAGCGCUAGCUUACGUGGAGGCGCUGGUGGGAUACUACCCUAGCUGUGUUGGCUUUCUAACCCGCACCACUUAUCGUGGUGGGAGACAGUGUCAGGCGGGCAGUUUGACUGGGGCGGUCGCCUCCUAAAAGGUAACGGAGGCGCUCAAAGGUUCCCUCAGAAUGGUUGGAAAUCAUUCAUAGAGUGUAAAGGCAUAAGGGAGCUUGACUGCGAGACCUACAAGUCGAGCAGGGUCGAAAGACGGACUUAGUGAUCCGGUGGUUCCGCAUGGAAGGGCCAUCGCUCAACGGAUAAAAGCUACCCCGGGGAUAACAGGCUUAUCUCCCCCAAGAGUUCACAUCGACGGGGAGGUUUGGCACCUCGAUGUCGGCUCAUCGCAUCCUGGGGCUGUAGUCGGUCCCAAGGGUUGGGCUGUUCGCCCAUUAAAGCGGUACGCGAGCUGGGUUCAGAACGUCGUGAGACAGUUCGGUCCCUAUCCGUCGUGGGCGUAGGAAAUUUGAGAGGAGCUGUCCUUAGUACGAGAGGACCGGGAUGGACAUACCUCUGGUGUACCAGUUGUCGUGCCAACGGCAUAGCUGGGUAGCUAUGUGUGGACGGGAUAAGUGCUGAAAGCAUCUAAGCAUGAAGCCCCCCUCAAGAUGAGAUUUCCCAACUUCGGUUAUAAGAUCCCUCAAAGAUGAUGAGGUUAAUAGGUUCGAGGUGGAAGCAUGGUGACAUGUGGAGCUGACGAAUACUAAUCGAUCGAAGACUUAAUC
rnacentral:rRNA from 1 species